GUACCAGGAAGCGCUGGGGGGCAGAGGAGCGGAGUUAAGGCAGAAGCCAGUCAGGAUGGUGGUGCCUUCGCUGAAGCUUCAGGACCUCAUCGAAGAGAUUCGCGGGGCCAAGACUCAGGCCCAGGAGCGGGAGGUGAUCCAAAAGGAGUGUGCCCACAUCCGGGCCUCCUUCCGCGACGGGGACCCAGUGCACAGGCACCGGCAGCUGGCCAAACUGCUCUACGUCCACAUGUUGGGCUACCCCGCCCACUUUGGACAGAUGGAGUGCCUGAAACUGAUCGCCUCCUCCAGAUUCACAGACAAGAGGGUGGGCUACCUGGGGGCCAUGCUUCUAUUGGAUGAGAGGCACGAUGCCCACCUGCUCAUUACCAACAGCAUCAAGAAUGACCUGAGCCAGGGGAUUCAGCCAGUACAAGGCCUGGCCUUGUGCACUUUGAGCACCAUGGGCUCUGCUGAGAUGUGCCGAGACCUGGCCCCAGAAGUGGAGAAACUGCUCCUGCAGCCCAGUCCCUACGUGCGCAAGAAGGCUAUUCUGACUGCAGUGCACAUGAUCCGGAAGGUCCCUGAACUCUCCAGUGUCUUCCUCCCACCCUGUGCUCAACUGCUUCAUGAGCGUCACCAUGGUAAGGCUGUGGGGCUCCCCAUCCUUUGCUUCAGCUCUAUGGACAGAAGAAUUGAAAAUCGGAUGGGAACCCCAGCUCACAGGAGAAGGGUAGUGCACACACACAGGCACACACGCAAUAGACUCUCUUGCCCCUGGCCCCCACCAUUCACUUCCCCGACCCUGACCCCAGGCAUCCUGCUGGGCACCAUCACGCUGAUCACGGAGCUCUGCGAACGAAGCCCUGCAGCCCUCAGGCACUUCCGAAAGGUGGGCUGGUAAAGGGGCAGGCCCUGGGCCUGGAAGAGAGGGUCAGUGGGGAAGGAAUGGGGCUUUAGCUGGAGAGGAUUAGAACAAAUGCCCAAAGUUGUGCCCUCCCUCCAGGUGGUACCCCAGCUGGUACAGAUCCUCCGGACUCUGGUGACAACGGGAUACUCCACAGAACACAGCAUAUCUGGAGUCAGCGACCCCUUCCUGCAGGUCCAGAUACUUCGUCUGCUUCGGAUCCUGGGCCGGAACCAUGAGGACAGCAGUGAGACCAUGAAUGACUUGCUGGCCCAGGUGGGGCCUGGGAGGGCACUGGUUAGCUGUGUUGCUUGGAGACCCCACCAGCCCUGGGUGCCCCUCACAUGACUCCUCACUGUGCAGUGGCCAUAUAAUUGCCUCUCCAUCUCCUCUAGACAGUGAACUCCAUGAAGAA
rnacentral:sRNA from 1 species